rnacentral:rRNA from 3 species
CUUGACGAAUAUAGUUUGUGGGACCAACCUGAAACCAUUCCGAACUCAGAAGUUAAAUCACCUAACGCCUAUGGUAGUAUGAGGUUCUCCUCAUGUGAGAGUAGGUUAUCGUCAGGC